rnacentral:tRNA from 1 species
GGCCAGUUAGCUCGGUUGAUUGAGCGUAGUACUGAUAACACCAAGGUCACGGGUUCGAUUCCCGUUCGGUCCC